UACGUAGGGCGCAAGCGUUGUCCGGAAUUAUUGGGCGUAAAGAGCUCGUAGGCGGUUUGUCGCGUCUGCCGUGAAAGCCCGGGGCUUAACCCCGAGCCUGCAGUGGAUACGGGCAGACUAGAGGUAGGUAGGGGAGAAUGGAAUUCCCGGUGUAGCGGUGAAAUGCGCAGAUAUCGGGAGGAACACCGGUGGCGAAGGCGGUUCUCUGGGCCUUACCUGACGCUGAGGAGCGAAAGCGUGGGGAGCGAACAGG
rnacentral:rRNA from 1 species